UCUCUCUGAAUCUGCGAACGGCUCCGCAUACCAGUUGUAAACUAUAGCAAGCAAGCCUAGGCUGCCUUCACGGGUGGCUUGGGUAAUAUGGAUAACCCUGGUAAUUCUGAGGCUAAUACAAGAACGUAACCCCUCGCUGACUGGGUAACUGGGAGGCUUGGAGACGUGCGCGUUGUGUCGUGGGAUUGCCAGGAAGGGACGCACGUCUGGACCGCGCUACAAAGGUUCCCCCUCAAAAGGGUUCCCAGCGGCUCUUGCUGUGUGCUUCUGACCUAUCAACUAGAUGGCAGCGUAAGGGACAUGCUAUGGUAACAACGGGUACAGAGGAUUAGGGUUCGAUCCUGGAGAGUGGGCCUGAGAGAUU
rnacentral:rRNA from 1 species